rnacentral:rRNA from 1 species
GCCUAAGGCCAUACCACCUGAACAUGACCAAUCUUAUCUGAUCUCAGAAGCUAAGCAGGAUCGGGUCUGGUUAAUACUUGGAUGGAAGACCCCGUGAGAACAUUGGGCACUAUAGGCU